UUGCUUUGGCAGCACAUACACUAAAAUUGGAACAAUACAAAGAAGAUUAGCAUGGCCCCUGCACAAGGAUGACACGCAAAUUUGUGAAGCGUUCCAUAUUUUU
rnacentral:snRNA from 1 species